rnacentral:rRNA from 1 species
GUCAGCGGGGAUAGCACGUUGAAUGCACCAGUUCCCCAUGGAUCACUGAGGUUAAGCAACGUUGCGCGUGGUUAGUAUCUCUGGGUCAUCGCGUGCUGCUUUUU